GUCGUCUCUGCCGCGGCUUCCUCGGCUGCCAGCUCUCCGGCGAGCCGGAGUCCUCGUGCCGUACCGUCAGUCCCCGGCCGCGCGGAGCCGGGAUGCACUGUUCCUGCAGUGGGUCCUCAUCAUGGAGACCAAACGGGUGGAGAUUCCCGGCAGCGUCCUGGACGAUCUCUGCAGGAUAUGUGAGGAUGUACUUCAUGAAAACAAGGAAGUGAAUUAAGGAGGAUGAAAACAAAAAGAGAAGAAACAUGACCUUUGUGGGAUAAAGGCACAGGGAACUAUAGGAUGCUAGUGAAAGGGAAGUGUAGAGUUGACAGAUGUGUACCAGGUGUAGAGGACAGCUGAUCCAGGCUAGAACAGAUCAGAUGACUAAAAGUCUUAAAGAUGAAACUGUUGAAUCUGAAUUGUGGGGAAAAAAAAUCCAAAAUGAAACUGAUGGAUCUGAAUUGUGAAAAGAAAAUUCACAAUGGAGAUGAUUAUGUCAGAAUAUCCAAAAAGGAGCCAGGAGGGCAUAAGGAGUUGGAUCCUAGUCACAUACACAUCUAGAUGGAGUUUCACCUGCUGAACUGGGCCAAAGUGUAAAACUAGCUGCAUUUGACUCGAGGUGUAUAUACUGGGCCUGAUCAACCUCCUGGAGAGAUAACCAUGCCCAACUAUAUUGAUCAUUGACUAGAGACAUCCUGAGCUGACAACCAGCCAUCAUUUAUCAUGGACUGUGUUAAAACCUUCCAGAUACGUAAAUUUACAGGAGCCCUUAAAAGCUCUGCCUAACCUUGCCUGAAUGCAACAUGAUUUAGCUGCUUGCUAGACUUGUGUCUCCCAAAUUGCAAUCUCUAAAAACCUGAUUAAAAUGCCUUUUGCCA
rnacentral:sRNA from 1 species